GACGAACGCUGGCGGCGUGCCUAAUACAUGCAAGUUGAGCGCUGACGGUUGGUACUUGUACCAACUGGAUGAGCAGCGAACGGGUGAGUAACGCGUGGGGAAUCUGCCUUUGAGCGGGGGACAACAUUUGGAAACGAAUGCUAAUACCGCAUAAAAACUUUAAACACAAGUUUUAAGUUUGAAAGAUGCAAUUGCAUCACUCAAAGAUGAUCCCGCGUUGUAUUAGCUAGUUGGUGAGGUAAAGGCUCACCAAGGCGAUGAUACAUAGCCGACCUGAGAGGGGGGUCGGCCACAUUGGGACUGGGACACGGCCCAAACUCCUACGGGGGGCAGCAGUAGGGAAACUUCGGCAAUGGACGAAAGUCUGACCGAGCAACGCCGCGUGAGUGAAGAAGGUUUUCGGAUCGUAAAACUCUGUUGGUAGAGAAGAACGUUGGUGAGAGUGGAAAGCUCAUCAAGUGACGGUAACUACCCAGAAAGGGACGGCUAACUACGUG
rnacentral:rRNA from 1 species